AGAGUGACAAUUAGUUAACAAAAGUGAAGAAAUUAAGUGGAAGUAAUAAGAAGCAAAACGACAACUUCAACGGCGGGAGAAUUUACGACAACUGAAGAAUUUACGAGUAAUAUAGAAAUCGAUGAAUUUAUUGCGAGAGACGAAACUAUCUAUUUCACUGGGUACAUCGACAAUAUCGAGGGCUCAAAACUGAUCAGCAAAGGUGUUAAAAAAGUAGUGGUUACUGGAAGUAAUAUAAAAUGAAGAUGUUUCUUUCAAACACUAACAAUAAUCAAAGCGGGCGCUACGCACCCGCAUUGUUACUAGUAUCGUAUAAAAAGAAUAUCUGGAAAAUUAUGUUUGCCAUCGUGUAUAUCAUCGUGUAUACGUGUAUAUCAGUCACAGCUUAAAGAAACAGCUUGUAUUCAA